UACGAAGGGGGCUAGCGUUGUUCGGAAUCACUGGGCUUAAAGGGCGCGUAGGCGGGUGAGCAAGUCUAUGGUGAAAUCCUCCGGCUUAACCGGAGAACUGCCGUGGAUACUGCCCAUCUCGAGGAGGAUAGGGGCAUCUGGAACUAGCGGUGGAGCGGUGAAAUGCGUUGAUAUCGCUAGGAACUCCGGUGGCGAAGGCGAGAUGCUGGAUCCUUUCUGACGCUGAGGCGCGAAAGCCAGGGGAGCGAACGGG
rnacentral:rRNA from 1 species